GAGGCUGUGUCCCAGCAGAACUCCCAACAGCUGGAGAAUGAUUUCUCCUUCUUGGAGGGGGAUCCGGACAGCACUUCACAGCAUCUACCUCAUAAUAUCAUUCAUGACCAGAAAGGCAUUUCCACCUGUCUGUCUUCCCAAAGCUCAGGUUUCAUAAGAUAAACAGAAACCAGAAGGAAGAGUUUCCAAGCUUUAGCCAUGAAGGAAUACGACUGCUGCCCUGCAGCUCUGUUUUCAAAGUGGUCCCAGGGGCUACAAGCACUUUUUCUCUGUGACUGUUUGGGAGCCUUAAAAGAAGUGCCAUCAUUUGUAUAUGCAUUUCUUUUUGUAGUAAAGAGCCCCAUCUGUUCUCACACCAUUGCUGCUCACUGGAAACAAUAAUGAUCAGAAUGACAAUUACGGCUACCACUUAUUGCCCAUUUUCUAUGUGCCCAUCACUGUUCUCCAGGCACUACAGGCAUCAUCUCACCCAAGAACAUGAGGCCAGACCCAAACUACUUGCCCCAAACCACAGUAUCUGAGACAAGAUUGUGAGAUUAUGAUGUGAGUUGACAGUGGGAAAAAUUUAACAGUGUGUUGGAAAGCACUCGUAACGGUCUGCAUGUUAUCACUUGAAAAACUUAAAUAAAGAAAGGAGGCAGUCUUUGGAUGGCAGACUGCAAAACAGCUCUACUCCAGAGUAGCCAACUUAACAUUAUAGGCACCUCCACAGUGACCAACACACACCACUGUGUCAUCACCAAAUCUGAUCCUUUACUCCCCAGUCGACCCUUGAAGACUCAUUCUGUCUUGGUCUGCUCCUUAAAGGAAUGACAAAAAAAACACUGAAUAUUAAAAAAACAGAAAGUUGAGUUCCUGUUGUGGCUCAGUGGAAAUGAACCCAACUGGUAUCCAUGAGAACACAGGUUCGAUCCCUGGCCUUGCUCAGUGGGUUAAGGAUCUGGUGUUGCCGUGAGCUGUGGUAUAGAUCGCAGAUGCAGCUUGGAUCUGGCAUUGCUAUGACAGAGGCUACAGCUCCAAUUUGACCCUUAGCCUGGGAACCUCCAUAUGCCACAGGUGUGGCCCUGAAAAAAGACAAAAAAACAGCAACGGAAAGUAACAUGAAAUGGAAGAAAGACAUAACUCAUGGAACGACCUCUCUACCCCUGCUAUUUGUAUGACACUGGGCAUGUGGCUUAACUCUCUGAACCUCAGUUCGUCAUUGGAAAAUAGUGAGAAGAACAAUUAAAUGAGACAAUGUCACAGAAAGGCGCUUAACAAGUAACUUAAAAUAUCCUAUUUUAAAAAUGGACUUCCAUGCUCUUUGUAAAGCCUAGAAUACAUAUUCACUUAUCCAAAUAAGAAAACAAGAUGAUGCAUUUUCUAAACACGAUUGUGAAGUCCUCAUUUAAUUUUUCAUAAGCAGUGAAAAGUGACCUUUGGCAUCACUAAUUUCUAGCCCUCGAAAGUCUCCAAAGAGAAGACAGAUUUUCUGGAUCCCAGGAAAAUGAACCCGUCUUGCUCUUCAGUCAUAGGCUCAUCUCUUUGUGCUUUCCUCUGGCCUUGCCCAAAUACUUGGCAGGGAGACUGUCAAGGGGUUGGUUUAUGUAGAUUUUAUCAAUGUAUUUCCCGUAACUUGACUACUGUGAGACACUGGGCUUCACACCGGGCUUUUCUAUGGCAGCCUUACCGCCCCCAUGGCCACAGUCUUCCAGCCUGGCAGCUGUAGAGAGAACAUUCCCCACAGUUAAGGCCCAAGAAGAUUCAACUUUUACCACCAGUCUCCGGGCUUACCCCGUCUGAUUGCUUUGGAGCCAGCCUCAAAGGUUUACUUGGCUGGCAAGGGAGGAAUUGUUACAAUUAAAAAGAAAAAAUAAGUUGUCAAAGACAAAUCCUGUAGGGUCCUGAGGGAGUCCCAAGAGAAGUUAAUUGGAAAAUCCAUUUGCCCCCUUGGCUGUUCCUCCCCCAACUGCCGCCCCAGCCUUAUCCAGAGCAGCCACCCUAUCUGUAAAUGGCGACCGUGGAAAAUGUGCCCUGGCGACUUGGUGUGAAAGAUAGGCAAGGCUCCUAAAAAAUCUUCUCGGAGGCUUAUCACCUUCUUCUGGCUCCACAGCGGGCUCGGGCUCUGGGGCUGGAGGAAACUGCCUGUCUGUGAGCCUAGACAGGGUCUCAUCAACAACUGAUAAGGCCCUCUGUGAACAAGCAGGCGCUGGGGGCUCAUUCGCCUCUCAAACGCCAGAGACAUUUGUAGGAAAAUAUACGGGGUCCAGUGACCUCCGUGAAGAAGGCUGAGCAAGCCCACCAGGUCUGCCCUGAAGCAGAGUGGCCCUACCCCCAACCCGGGAAAGGAGAAAAUCUAGAAGUCACACCAUAGGACAGGGGACAAACGUCUGGGGGUCAGCGGGACAUCCACACACUGGCAACACUCCUCUCCCAGCUGGGGGUAGGGCCCAAGGAAUUAAUCACAAAACAAGCUCCAGUCUAUUCAGAAUCUAAACAACCAAAGAGCUCCUGUAAUCAGAACUUCUGCAACCCUCUAUGAAGUACAUGGAUAUUAAAAUGAUUCCUUCUCAUGGAGUAAGAUCUUGAGGUCCCUUCCAAAUGGAACCAAAGCACAGCAUUGGAAAGGAAGAAAUCAGAUUUUACAUCCCAACUCUUCCCUCUAACUAUCCAUGUAACAUCAGAUGAAUCAGUUUCCUCAGGAAAAAGCAAAUAUUUACUCAGACUGGUUCUCAUUAUAUGAAAGAGAUUUGUAAAUAAAUAAUAGAACACUAUAUACAUAAAGUAUUAUCCCAUUAAAAAUUCAACACUUAGGCUACCUUCAGUGGUGAGGACACUUGUAUACUUGAAUCACUGGAAGACUGCCAGUUCUUAUUUAGUAUUGGUGAAUUCAGUUAAUCAAAUGCACACCGAGUUAGUUCCUUGCACCAUGGAAGACAAGAUGAUGUAAGCAAAGACACAGUGCUCAUACAAAGAACUACAGUGUCAGGCAUGCACUCUAAUAAAAGAGUGAAUAUACUGUGGUGGCAGCAAGAUUACUGAAGAAGUCUUUCCAAGUAUAAUCUGAGCAGAACCAAACGAUGGGAUGGCUUUGACCAGACAGAGCAGCUGAGGAGAAAUCAAAAGCAAGAAUAAAAUUGGAGGACAGGCCCGCCGGGAGAGGAUAUGGCAGGAAGAGGUGGUGGGGCUGCACUGCAAGCAUCAAUGAACAUAAUGGCGGGUAGGUGGGCAGGUGCUGGAGGGAAGUGUCUUGAAUGACAGGCUGAGGAGCUCAUAUUCUAUCUUAUAGGUGAGGAGAGCAGCUGAUGGUACGUGACAAGCAGAGCCAGUCUGGAGACGCAGACUGUGGCUGGGCAGCCUGGCGGUGGGAAGGACCACGGGAGCUUGAUGGAGAGUGGCAGUGUGUGUGGGAAGAAAGGGGCUGCCCAGAAGAGGCUUUUGCUGUGUACUGAGUCCCUGAUAAGCCAAACAUGUGCCAUUCUCCUUCCUUUCUGGGUAAAUCGGGGGUCAGUCUACUCAGCGGGCACCUUCAGCUGCAGCGUUAGGACUUGCUCUCCUGUUCCAGGCAAAAUUGAUUUCCUAGCCUCUGAUUCCAUACAAAAGCUUCACACUGGGCAGAAAGGGAAAUAGGUCAAAGAAUAUAGAAGGUAGAGAAGACUAAAACAUGGAGAAUGAUAAACAACUUCUUAUGAAUUUUAUUAUGAAUUUUAUUAUCACAAAAGUAAAUGUAUUAUUGACUGUACAAAGUUUAGAGAAAAAUUAAACAAAGUAGGAAAAUGAAAAUCACAUGUAUCUAGAGUUACCUGCUUUGGUAGAUACCCUUCCAAGUACUUUCUCUGUGUAUAUGUUAGGGAGAUUGUUAUAGUACUAUUUAUAUGCUAUUACCAAUACAAUUACUAAUAUAAUUACUGUACUAUUGCUAGUACUAUUUAAUACUGCCUAGUGAAUGGCACAUAUUGAGACUUAAUCAAUAUUUAUUAAAGUAAUAAA
rnacentral:lncRNA from 1 species